AAUAUUGCGCAAUGGGGGGAACCCUGACGCAGCAACGCCGCGUGAGUGAAGAAGGCCNNNGGUUCNUCAAACUCUGUCAUUAGNGACNAAGACGUGACGGUACCUAAUGAGGAAGCCCCGGCAAACUACGUGUCAGCAGCCGCGGUAAUACGUAGGGGGCGAGCACUGUCCGGAAUCCCUGGGCGUAAAGGGUGCGUAGGCGGCCUGAUAAGUCAGAUGUGAAAUACCAGGGCUCAACCCUGGGGGUGCAUUUGAAACUGUUGGGCUUGAGUGCAGGAGAGGAAAGUGGAAUUCCUAGUGUAGCGGUGAAAUGCGUAGAGAUUAGGAGGAACACCAGUGGCGAAGGCGACUUUCUGGACUGUAACUGACGCUGAGGCACGAAAGCGUGGGUAGCGAAC
rnacentral:rRNA from 1 species